rnacentral:tRNA from 1 species
GCCCGGCUGGCGCAAUGGUAGCGCGUAAGACUUCUAUUCUACUUUCUCCAGAGUAUCUUAAGGUUGUGGGUUCGACCCCCACGUCGGGUG